rnacentral:rRNA from 1 species
AUGGAAUGAGCGGCGGACGGGUGAGUAACACGUAGGCAACCUGCCUGUAAGACUGGGAUAACUCGUGGAAACGCGAGCUAAUACCGGAUAACACUUUUCAUCUCCUGAUGAGAAGUUGAAAGGCGGCUUUUGCUGUCACUUACAGAUGGGCCUGCGGCGCAUUAGCUAGUUGGUAAGGUAACGGCUUACCAAGGCGACGAUGCGUAGCCGACCUGAGAGGGUGAUCGGCCACACUGGGACUGAGACACGGCCCAGACUCCUACGGGAGGCAGCAGUAGGGAAUCUUCCGCAAUGGACGAAAGUCUGACGGAGCAACGCCGCGUGAGUGAUGAAGGUUUUCGGAUCGUAAAACUCUGUUGUUAGGGAAGAACAAGUACUAUAGUAACUGAUAGUACCUUGACGGUACCUAACCAGAAAGCCACGGCUAACUACGUGCCAGCAGCCGCGGUAAUACGUAGGUGGCAAGCGUUGUCCGGAAUUAUUGGGCGUAAAGCGCUCGCAGGCGGUUCUUUAAGUCUGAUGUGAAAUCUUACGGCUCAACCGUAAACGUGCAUUGGAAACUGGGGAACUUGAGUGCAGAAGAGGAGAGUGGAAUUCCACGUGUAGCGGUGAAAUGCGUAGAGAUGUGGAGGAACACCAGUGGCGAAGGCGACUCUCUGGUCUGUAACUGACGCUGAGGAGCGAAAGCGUGGGGAGCGAACAGGAUUAGAUACCCUGGUAGUCCACGCCGUAAACGAUGAGUGCUAGGU